rnacentral:rRNA from 1 species
UACAGAGGUGGCAAGCGUUGUUCGGAAUUACUGGGCGUAAAGGGCGCGUAGGCGGCCUUCUAAGUCAGACGUGAAAUCCCCAGGCUUAACUUGGGAACUGCGUCUGAUACUGGGAGGCUUGAAUGCGGGAGAGGGAUGUGGAAUUCCAGGUGUAGCGGUGAAAUGCGUAGAGAUCGGGAGGAACGCCAGCGGCGAAGGCGGCAAACUGGAUAGGCACUGACACUCAACAACGAAAGCGUGGGGAGCAAACAGG